GUAGGGAAUCUUCCACAAUGGGCGAAAGCCUGAUGGAGCAACGCCGCGUGUGUGAUGAAGGGUUUCGGCUCGUAAAACACUGUUGUAAGAGAAGAAUGACAUUGAGAGUAACUGUUCAAUGUGUGACGGUAUCUUACCAGAAAGGAACGGCUAAAUACGCGCCAG
rnacentral:rRNA from 1 species